UUUUUUUUUUUUUUUUUUUUUGCAAUUGCACAUUUUAAUCAGGUGUAAUUACAUAAGGCACAGGUCAAACUAUGUACAGAUUUGAACUGCACAGACUGAACACAUUCACUUUGGUGAGCUUUGGCCAGCAUAUACAGCUGUAUCACCAACACCCCCACCAGAAGACACUUGCACCACUCUAGAAAGUCCUGUGUCAUUCUUCCGUCAGAGGCCUGGAGGCAGUCUUGUAGAUAAAGGGUCAGAAGAGGCCUCUCUGAUGAGGUGGUCUCUGAGAUUCUGAGGAGGAGAAGGCAGUCACCACAGGAAAGCCAGGUUGGACUGUGUCCUGAUGUCGGGCAACCAAGGGGGCCAUGUGUCUGAUGGGGAGCAGAUGAGCGGAAGCGAGAGCAAGGAGACUACAUAAGGCCCGUGGCUAUUGAUGCACCUGGCCUUCAGUCCACCUGAGAGGUUGGUGCCUCCUAGGGUGUCUGCGUGGAGCUGCUGUGAGACCACGGGGCUGCCGCAUCCUCACUGCCACAGCCACCCUCAGCAUCUUCCUCAGCCAGCCGCCUCCUUGGUGAAGGCCUCCUGCAAAAUUUUAAAUGCUCUUUUAUUUGGGCUGUUACUAAGUGUGUAGAGUUAAUUAUAGCAAUGUCUAUCAGAUGUCAUUCUGUCAAAUAGAUUCUGGGACACAGUGAAAAGCAAGGUAUAGCGGUAAGGGGCACAGUGUGGUGCCAAGUGAUCCUAAAGAGAGCCCAGAAACGGCACUGAACAAUUGGAUCUCCCCACAUAGUAGUGGACUGCUGAGGUUAGUCAAGUGAGAAGAUAGUAGUAGCUGUGGGGCUUCUUAGGGCAGCCAGACAUGGCCCUUGGUCUUCCAAACGUUUUAUUUCCUUCAAGUGCACUACCCAAACUUCUAAUGUUCAAACAUGUGCAGAAGACACAAAAAGGUUGAGAACCACCAUUUACGCUGUUUUUUCUCUGCUUGGCUAAAUGGUAAUUGCCAUCAACAUACACCAAAUCAUUUUUUGGGUAAAAAAAACAAAUACUCUUGAAUUGACUCCAGUUAAGUCUUGCUUAUCUUUUAGUAGAAGGUCAUGCUUUGCUGGGUCAUGAACACAGGUGGUCUAGAUCAUACUUUUUGCUUUCUUUCUCCACAGGCAGAGGAGGAACAAUCUGUGUUGCUACGAUGCCACUGAGACCAUAAAAGGGCUGUCCUCCUUUCUCCCUAUCACAAAAAGAUCCUUUUCCACUUAAUUCUUUUUAAGCACCGCACCACCCCCUUCUUCCUUGUCCACUAGUCAAAGAGUUUAAAUUGAUUUACUUGGAGCCAGGUGUGAUUUUAUUUGACCAGAGUUACAGGACUCUUGCCUAUUUUAAGCACAGUCUUAAAGUAAUGGUUCCCAUAUGGCCCAUAUGAUCACAUAGAAUGUUUGUUAAAAAUGUAGAUAUCUUGGGUUUGAUUCUGAUUAGGUAAACCUGGGGUUAAACCCAGAAAUUUGCAUCCUGAGUUACUAAAUUGUCCUAUGUUGAGUCAGAAAUGCCAACCUACUAGCUUUAGUUUAUAAACUGCCUCAUACACUAUUUCCAAAAUGUCCUCCUUGAGUGUUUAUGUAUUCCAUAACACAAUAAAGUUAGAAAGGAGGACACAAGCUUUAAUUUUUUUGUCUUUACAUUUCACUACAUGGCUUUUCUGAUGCCAAUUUUUAUUCAUGUCUUCCUCUAGGCACAGUGUGCAAUAAUGGUUAUUUUGUCACUGCUUAAUGAGAAGAUGGUAGAGAAGAUUCUAGAGAGAUGAGCUAGUUCAGAGCAGGAAAAGAAGAAAAGGCAAUAUUCAGUUUCCCAACCUUGCCGUUUCUUGAUCUUUGGUCCUAGGGUCCUUCUCUGAGUCUUCAAAUCAAAUCCUUUUUAUAGCAUAUUGAAGAAUUUUGAACAUACCUACCAUGGAACUCAAGGCAGAUUUUGGCAAUGGGUAAGGGCAACUGGUGAUAGCAACCUGAACAUCAUCUUGCAUGUUCACACAUCACUAUUAAUUUCACUUAAAGCUAAAGGAAUGCACAUAACUGUCAGCUAAAAUUGCCUACCUGAGUCUAGAAUAUUCCCCUUUCAUCAAAAGGCUAUGUGCCCAUAGGUAACAGCGGUCAAAGGUUUUGAAAAUACUUCUCUCCCAGAAGUUUUCUCUGGUUAAUGGAGAGCAGUUAGGUUUCUAUAUUUUACUUUGGUCUCUCUUCUUGAGUAUCUAGCAGUAAAUUCUAUCUACUGUCACGAUUCUAAUUCCUAACUGAAAUAGUACAAUAUAUGAGUGCACAAAGCAAGAAACAUGAAGUGUAUGAACCGAGAGGCAGAAGUACAUCGGAACUAGAGAUGUCUCAACAUGGCUCAGCAAGUCCAAAAGAAAACAUAAAUCAAAUGUCAGAGAUAGCAAAGACACAGGAACCAAGUAUGGAAACAGAAAUAAAAUCAUAUGGGUAUAUGGGAAUAUAAAAAGUUAACAAAGGCAAAAGUAUAGGGAAGCUCAACACUAGGAUACAGCUCAGGGAAGUGACCAGUAAACAGAAGGUCUGCCUGCAUGGGAGGCUAAGAUAGUCCUGUCUCAAAACACAUGGAGAGCAUCAGAUGCAAAAAGAAUCCAUUCUGGACAGUCAGCUGUCCUGGUCCUGUCCACUGUACAAGAAACUGUCCAAGGCUUCUUAGCCAUAUAUUUUGUUGAGAAUAAUCUUAGCAUUUAGCCAGCGUGGAAGGAUGGUUAAUGGGAAGGAAGAAAUAUGAUUGGGGAAUAUGAACAAAUCUUAUCUUUUUUUAAAGAUAAGAUUGGAGUAUAAUGGACAAGACACAAUGCUACAUUGGUUUCAGGUGUACAGAAUAAUGAUUAAAGAACUCUAUUCAUUAUGCUAUGCUCACUGCAAGUGUAUGUAGCCACCCUCUGUCACCAUACAAUGCUAUUACCACACAGAUAACUAUAUUCCCAUCCUGUACCUUUCAUCUCUGUGACUUACUCAUUCUAUAACUGGAAGCCUAUCCAUCCUACUACCCUUCCAAUGGUAUCCUGAAAGCCAGUACUUUUAAAUUCAAAUGUGUAUGAGAAGAUGAGAAGUAAUGUGGAAAUGGGAAACAAAAAUUUAAAGGAUUUCGGUCAGGCAUCGUAUCCUAGAAGCCAUCCUGGAAUUACCUGCCUGGGUUAGAAGCCCUUUCCUGCUCUCACAGCAUCCUUCUCUUUCACCUACUAUGGCAUUGAACACACCCUGUGGUGAUUGGCCAUCUCCCCACUGAGGCUCCAACCACCUUGAAGCAAGGAUCAUGGCUUAUUUAUCUUUAUAUACUCUCUAGAUAGCAGCUUUGCAAUAAGGGCUUAUCGAAUGUCAAUAAUUACCUUUGUCUUCUCAAACCACAAGUUCCAUAUAGACAGGAAACACAUUUUUACAACACUUCGUAGGCACAAUAUUCUAGUUGAUAAAGAUGAACAUUUCAUCUGCUAGUCUUUAUUCUCUUACAACCCAUUCAAGUAAUAUCCCAUGAACAGAUACUCUACAGGCAUGCCAAGAAUCUCCUCAUACUGACGCAAGAAGCACAUUCCUUAGACUAUUUUGUAGAAAGUGCUUGGCUGAGUUAGAGGCUAACUAUCAAGAGUUUGAAUCUUUUGAACACAUCCCAAGUUACUUUAUUUUCUAUAAGGGCCCUUGCUCAUUUUUCUAAGAGGCAAUAUCACAUAGCGAUUAAGAACACAGAUUCAAGAGCCAGACUGCCACAGUUGUAUUCCAGGUUUUCCACUUAUUAUCUGGUGACCUAAGGCAAGUUACAUAACCUCUCUGUGCCUCAACUUUAUCAUCUGUGAAUGGGGAUGAAGGUUGUUGAGAGAAUUAACUACAACUACUGGCUGUUUUUUUAAGGUACUUAAAGCAGUGCCUGAUGCAUUGUAUGCCAUAUAAAUUGUACAAAAAUUAGCUACAGUUAUAUUUUGCUUUGCCAGAUACCAUUGAUUAUUUUAAUUAAUUAUAAUAUCCACCCAAAUAUAUUUGGGUCCUUUCUCAAAACAUUACUCCUCUCCAUAUUUGAUAUUUUGCCCCCGUUUUGGUAAAAGGUGUUUUAUUAUAAAAACAGGCAAAUAUGCUAAAAAUUGAGAAGAAAUUAUGCAUAAAUUAUCACUUCAUUUUUUCAUAAAAACAAGCUAUCCUGACUUCCUGAAUUCAUCGUAUAAAAUUUCAAGAAUUUAUCUGAAGAAAGUAAGAGGUAUUGAGGAAAGUAUUUAUCUUUUGUCUUAAUCGUUUCCUAAGAAGUUGCUAAACCUGAGGUCGUUAUUGUUUAUACAGGAAAAGAAUGUCUUAUACUUGUGGAAAAUUUUUAAAACACUGCUAACAUGCUUUCUGAUCAUCCCUACUUCCUGUGGUGGGGUUUAAAGACCACACCAACUUUUGUAACUGCUGAGAUUUACAGAGUGAAGCCUCAUUUGAUAAUCUUGCAAAAAUGGAUAGGCAGUACUUCUCUUCCUUUCUAAAUGCCACACAUGCCAGCUUUUACAAAUGUUAAAAGAAUUUCCAGCCAGCCCCAAGCUGGUUCCAAGCAGGUGCACACGCUAUUUCUCAGCUCCAUCUCCAGGGUAGCCUAGGAAAUCCCUCUUUCCUCGUGAUCUCCCCUAGAUCCAGUUAAUCAGCCCUGGAAUCUGUUUUCCUGGAGAAUGAAAAUGUUUUAUUUUUAGCUGCCUAGGUUCUGACCAGUAUCUCUGAUAUCUAAAUAAUGAAAAGU
rnacentral:lncRNA from 1 species